GACGAACCGUGCGAACGUUGUUCGGAAUCACUGGGCUUAAAGGGCGCGUAGGCGGUCCGCCAAGUCUGGGGUUAAAUCUCUCGGCUCAACCGAGAUAAUGCCUGGGAUACUGGCGGACUGGAGGGAUGUAGGGGCGAUCGGAACUUCCAGUGGAGCGGUGAAAUGCGUUGAUAUUGGAAGGAACGCCGGUGGCGAAAGCGGGUCGCUGGACAUCUUCUGACGCUGAGGCGCGAAAGCUAGGGGAGCGAACGGG
rnacentral:rRNA from 1 species